CAGCAGCCGCCGCGGUAAUACGUAGGGUGCGAGCGUUAAUCGGAAUUACUGGGCGUAAAGCGUGCGCAGGCGGUUAUAUAAGACAGAUGUGAGAUCCCCGGGCUCAACCUGGGACCUGCAUUUGUGACUGUAUAGCUAGAGUACGGUAGAGGGGGAUGGAAUUCCGCGUGUAGCAGUGAAAUGCGUAGGUAUGCGGAGGAACACCGAUGGCGAAGGCAAUCCCCUGGACCUGUACUGACGCUCAUGCACGAAAGCGUGGGGAGCAAACAGGAUUAGAUACCCCAGUAGUCCCUGUCUCUUAUAC
rnacentral:rRNA from 1 species